UACAGAGGUGGCAAGCGUUGUUCGGAAUUACUGGGCGUAAAGGGCGCGUAGGCGGUUCGUUAAGUCCUGUGUGAAAUCCCCCGGCUCAACUGGGGAGGGUCACGCGAUACUGAUCGACUCGAAGGCAGGAGAGGGUAGUGGAAUUCCCGGUGUAGUGGUGAAAUGCGUAGAUAUCGGGAGGAACACCGGUGGCGAAAGCGGCUUACUGGGUCUCUUCUGACGCUGAGGCACGAAAGCGUGGGGAGCAAACAGG
rnacentral:rRNA from 1 species